GAUCAUGGCUCAGGAUGAACGCUAGCGACAGGCUUAACACAUGCAAGUCGAGGGGCAGCGGGGGUAGCAAUACCCGCCGGCGACCGGCGCACGGGUGAGUAACGCGUAUGCAACUUACCUAUCAGAGGGGGAUAACCCGGCGAAAGUCGGACUAAUACCGCAUGAAGCAGGGCCCCGCAUGGGGAUAUUUGCUAAAGAUUCAUCGCUGAUAGAUAGGCAUGCGUUCCAUUAGGCAGG
rnacentral:rRNA from 1 species